rnacentral:rRNA from 1 species
AGUUUGAUCCUGGCUCAGAUUGAACGCUGGCGGCAUGCCUUACACAUGCAAGUCGAACGGUAACAGGUCUUCGGAUGCUGACGAGUGGCGAACGGGUGAGUAAUACAUCGGAACGUGCCCGAUCGUGGGGGAUAACGAGGCGAAAGCUUUGCUAAUACCGCAUACGAUCUACGGAUGAAAGCGGGGGAUCUUCGGACCUCGCGCGGACGGAGCGUCCGAUGGCAGAUUAGGUAGUUGGUGGGAUAAAAGCUUACCAAAAAAGACGAUCUGUAGCUGGUCUGAGAGGAUGAUCAGCCACACUGGGACUGAGACACGGCCCAGACUCCUACGGGAGGCAGCAGUGGGGAAUUUUGGACAAUGGGCGAAAGCCUGAUCCAGCCAUGCCGUGUGCAGGAUGAAGGCCUUCGGGUUGUAAAACUGCUUUUGUACGGAACGAAAAGCCUCUGA